GGGGCUAUAGCUCAGCUGGGAGGGCGCCUGCCUUGCACGCAGGAGGUCAGCGGUUCGAUCCCGCUUAGCUCCACCA
rnacentral:tRNA from 1 species